rnacentral:rRNA from 1 species
CCUACGGGAGGCAGCAGUGAGGAAUAUUGGUCAAUGGGCGGGAGCCUGAACCAGCCAAGUAGCGUGAAGGAUGACAGCCCUAUGGGUUGUAAACUUCUUUUAUAAGGGAAUAAAGUGCCCCACGUGUGGGGUUUUGUAUGUACCUUAUGAAUAAGCAUCGGCUAAUUCCGUGCCAGCAGCCGCGGUAAUACGGAAGAUGCGAGCGUUAUCCGGAUUUAUUGGGUUUAAAGGGUGCGUAGGCGGUUCCAUAAGUCAGCGGUAAAAGCGUGCGGCUCAACCGUACCGUGCCGUUGAAACUGUGGGUCUUGAGUAUGCGCAGGGUACAUGGAAUUCGUGGUGUAGCGGUGAAAUGCUUAGAUAUCACGCAGAACUGCGAUCGCGAAGGCAUUGUACCAGAGCAAGACUGACGCUGAGGCUCGAAAGUGCGGGUAUCAAACAGGAUUAGAUACCCUAGUAGUC